rnacentral:rRNA from 1 species
GGUUUAAGGGUCCGUAGGCGGUCUUAUAAGUCAGUGGUGAAAUCUCCUUGUAAAAUUAGGAACUGCCAUUGAUACUGUAGGACUUGAAUUAUUAGGAAGUAACUAGAAUAUGUAGUGUAGCGGUGAAAUGCUUAGAGAUUACAUGGAAUACCAAUUGCGAAGGCAGGUUACUACUAAUGGAUUGACGCUGAUGGACGAAAGCGUGGGUAGCGAACAGGAUUAGAUACCCUGGUAGUCCACGCCGUAAACGAUGGAUACUAGCUGUUGGGGGCAACUUCAGUGGCUAAGCGAAAGUGAUAAGUAUCCCACCUGGGGAGUACGAACGCAAGUUUGAAACUCAAAGAAUUGACGG